GGGUCAGUAGGUUGGUCGUGCCACCGGUACGUACUGGUCUCACCGAUUCCUCCUUCCUGAAGAACCGUAAUGCCAUUAAUUUGGUGUUGCGGGGAAACAGGACUGUUACUUUGAAAAAAUUAGAGUGUUUAAAACAAGCUAACGCUUGAAUACAUUAGCAUGGAAUAAUGAAAUAGGACGAUCGAUCCUAUUUUGUUGGUUUCUAGGAUUGACGUA
rnacentral:rRNA from 1 species